GCACAAGCGGUGGAGCAUGUGGUUAAUUCGACGCAACGCGAAGAACCUUACCAGGGCUUGACAUCCCCUGACCGCGUAUGAAAGUACGUUUUCACCCUCGGGUGACAGGGAGACAGGUGGUGCAUGGUUGUCGUCAGCUCGUGUCGUGAGAUGUUGGGUUAAGUCCCGCAACGAGCGCAACCCCUACGUUUAGUUGCUAACGCGUGAAGGCGAGCACUCUAGACGAACUGCCGUUGACAAGACGGAGGAAGGUGGGAUGACGUCAAAUCAUCAUGCCCCUUAUGUUCUGGGCUACACACGUGCUACAAUGGCCGGUACAGACGGACGCAAAGCCGCGAGGUGGAGCAAAUCCUAAAAAGCCGGUCUCAGUUCGGAUUGCAGGCUGCAAUUCGCCUGCAUGAAGUCGGAAUCGCUAGUAAUCGCAGGUCAGCAUACUGCGGUGAAUACGUUCCCGGGCCUU
rnacentral:rRNA from 1 species